UCCAUACCGUAAACGAUGGAUACUAGGUGUCCGGGGACUAGUCCCCUGGGUGCCGUAGCUAACGCAAUAAGUAUCCCGCCUGGGGAGUACGAUCGCAAGGUUGAAACUCAAAGGAAUUGACGGGGGCCCGCACAAGCGGUGGAGCAUGUGGUUUAAUUCGAUGCAACGCGAAGAACCUUACCUGGGCUUGAACCGCAGAUGAUCGUUAUAGAGAUAUAAUUUUUUGAGCAAUC
rnacentral:rRNA from 1 species